GUAGUCCACGCUGUAAACGAUGGAUACUAGCUGUUUGGAGCAAUCUGAGUGGCUAAGCGAAAGUGAUAAGUAUCCCACCUGGGGAGUACGCACGCAAGUGUGAAACUCAAAGGAAUUGACGGGGGCCCGCACAAGCGGUGGAGCAUGUGGUUUAAUUCGAUGAUACGCGAGGAACCUUACCAAGGUUUAAAUGGGGACUGACAGAGGUAGAGAUACCUCCUUCUUCGGACAGUUUUCAAGGUGCUGCAUGGUUGUCGUCAGCUCGUGCCGUGAGGUGUCAGGUUAAGUCCUAUAACGAGCGCAACCCCUGCCAUUAGUUGCUAACGAGUCAAGUCGAGCCCUCUAGUGGGACUGCCGGUGCAAACCGUGA
rnacentral:rRNA from 1 species